GUUUGAUCAUGGCUCAGAACGAACGCUGGCGGCGUGUUUAAGACAUGCAAGUCGCACGGGAUUGAUCGAGUAGCAAUACAAGAUCAGUCCAGUGGCGCACGGGUGAGUAACACGUGAAUGACAUGCCCUGCAGAGGGGGAUAGCCAGGGAAACUUGGAUUAAUACCCCAUGGUAUCGCGAGAUUAAACGGUGGCCGCAAGGCUGUCGCUGCAGGAUUGGUUCGCGCCCUAUCAGCUUGUUGGCGGGGUAACGGCCCACCAAGGCUACGACGGGUACCUGGUCUGAGAGGACGAUCAGGCACACUGGAACUGAGACACGGUUCAGACACCUACGGGUGGCAGCAGUCGAGAAUAAUUCACAAUGGGGGCAACCCUGAUGGUGCAACGCCGCGUGGAGGAUGACGGUCUUCGGAUUGUAAACUCCUGUCAUCCGGGAGCAAGACCUGGCCAUGAAUAGUGGACAGGGUUGAUAGUACCGGAAGAGGAAGGGACGGCUAACUUCGUGCCAGCAGCCGCGGUAAUACGAAGGUCCCGAGCGUUGUUCGGAAUCACUGGGCGUAAAGGGAGCGUAGGCGGCGUGGUAAGUCAGAUGUGAAAUCCCGGGGCUCAACCCCGGAACUGCAUCCGAUACUGCCGUGCUAGAGGAUUGGAGAGGUAGCUGGAAUUCACGGUGUAGCAGUGAAAUGCGUGGAUAUCGUGAGGAACACUCGUGGCGAAAGCGAGCUACUGGACAACUCCUGACGCUGAGGCUCGAAGGCCAGGGUAGCGAAAGGGAUUAGAUACCCCUGUAGUCCUGGCAGUAAACGGUGUGCGCUUGGUGUGUGGGGAAUCGACCCCCCUUGUGCCGGAGCUAACGCGUUAAGCGCACCGCCUGGGAAGUA
rnacentral:rRNA from 1 species